rnacentral:rRNA from 1 species
CAGAGGUCUCAACCGUUGUUCGGAUUCAUUGGGCGUAAAGGGUGCGUAGGCGGUCGGGUAAGUCGGAUGUGAAAUCCCAGGGCUCAACCCUGGAACUGCAUUCGAUACUGCUUGGCUAGGGUACUGGAGAGGAGACUGGAAUUUACGGUGUAGCAGUGAAAUGCGUAGAUAUCGUAAGGAAGACUAGUGGCGAAGGCGAGUCUCUGGACAGUUACCGACGCUGAGGCACGAAGGUCAGGGGAGCAAACGGGAUUAGAUACCCCGGUAGUCCUGACAGUAAACGGUGUACGUUUGGUGUAGGCGGAUUCGACCCCGCCUGUGCCGGAGCUAACGCGUUAAACGUACCGCCUGGGAAGUACGGUCGCAAGAUUA